UUUCCCAAAAAGAAUGAUCAAAGCAGUUACCGGUGGCUCGGAAAGCGCUUUCUGACAGCUGCUCUGCCCUCCUGCAGCUAAACCAGCGCACACCAAAAAAAAAAAGAAUGGAGGAGAAAAGAAAAAUGGCGGGUUUGUUCCGGCACAUCGCCGCCGCUCUCCUUUUCCUCCUCACGGCUGCUUCGACCGCCGGCGCUUCCACUUAUUACGCCUCGGAUCCCAACCUCGGAUCCGCCCGCGUCGUCUUCCAGUUAAAUCAUGGUGACAUUGAAUUCGGCUUCUUUCCUCAUGUUGCACCUAAGACAGUUGAACACAUAUUUAAACUUGUGCAGCUUGGAUGCUAUAAUACAAAUCACUUCUUCCGGGUUGACAAGGGUUUCGUUGCGCAAGUUGCCGAUGUCAUGGGAGGUAGAAAAGCCCCUAUGAAUAAAGAGCAGGAACAACAGGCAGACAAAUCAAUUGUUGGUGAAUUUAGUACUGUCAAGCAUGUCAGAGGAAUUCUCUCAAUGGGAAGGUAUUCUGACCCAGACAGUGCCUCCUCUUCCUUUUCUAUCCUCCUUGGUGAUGCUCCCCACCUUGAUGGCCAGUAUGCUGUAUUUGGGAGGGUGACUAAGGGUGACGAUACAUUAAGAAAACUAGAGCGCCUGCCAACACAUAAAGAAGGCAUUUUUGUAAUGCCAAUUGAGCGCAUUGAGAUUCUGUCGACAUACUAUUAUGGUGUAUGCAUCUGAUCUCUAGCAGUCAUGGGAGUUCCAACAUUUGGUAUUGUGUCAGUUCUGAUAGGGUGUGCAUAUCCUGGGGGUGCCUGAACUCGGUUUGUCCUAAUAGGAGAUAUUGAUGUAGAGAGCUGUGAAGCAGAGAAGUCUAUUCUUAAGAGGAGACUUUCUGAAUCAGCAUCAGAAGUUGAGAGAUGGAGACGAAAAUGCUUCGCAUGAUCCAGCGAUUGAGUGUCUUUAUUUUCCUUUCGGCCCCACCGAGAAGACAUGCAUUUCAAAAGGACAUCCAUAUUACCUCUUCCAGGAUUUAGAGUGCAUGUGCAUUCCAAGGAGAAGGGUCAGACUUGUACUAUGUCCAAAUGCGUUGUACUAUGUAAUUUUUCCAUGAAUUCGAUGUUACUGUGAACGCUUUGAUAACUUUUCUUCAUUUGGCAUUGUUUCUCUAUGGUGACCAAAAUUUUGUCUUGUAUCUAUGUGGCAUGCUUAGCACAUGCACAGCGUGAAGCAUUGGGAAGGACCUAAUGCAAUCCAAUCGACCGAUAAUCUAAUGAAAAAUAAAUAAAUAUUACACAUGUAUGCUUUCCCUGCUCGUUCA